rnacentral:miRNA from 1 species
UUGAAAUUGUAGAUUUCGUAC